CAUUCGUAGAUAUCAGAAAAACGCAAACCCUUCUUAUUCUCAAACUCCCGUCUCGCCGCCACACAGCUGUGGCCUCUGCUCUGAUAAGUGCUGAUAGCACUCUCUCUAAUUAAUGCUGCGACUUGCACUGCGAAGAGUUUCAUCAUCUUCUUUUUCUUCUACAGCCACCGUCGUUAAUUCUUCUUCUCGGUUCAUUACCGGUUCCGCUUCUAAACCAAGCCUAUCAAUAUGGAGGCGAAAUAAAGAAUUGGGUAAAGAAGGUCUCAUCAUUACCAAAGAACUCAAGAGACUCCAAUCCGACCCGGUUCGUCUCGACCGGUUUGUCCGGUCCAAUGUUUCGCGCUUGCUCAAGUCUGAUCUUGUCUCUGUCCUUUUUGAAUUCCAAAGACAGGACAAUGUCUUUCUCUCCAUCAAGGUAUUUCCUGUUGCUCAAAAGGAAUUUUGUGGAUUCAAUCCUUUUACAAGUAUGAACUCUCUCCCUUCUCUGGUCUUGAACUUGUUUGAGCGAGCUUGAAUACCCACUUUUUCCUUUAUUCCUCGUAUCUCUUCCUUUAAUUCAAAGGGUGCAUAACUGCAUGGAUAAGCUCACACUAACCCGUCAAUUUCAGAUCCAAUUGGAGAUUUUCUUUGGGAGGUAUUGGGAAGGAAUUGGAAUAAUAUCAAACAAUAUACUAAACUGACGUGUUCAUGUUGUGCAGCAUUUGUGUGCUAUAGAAUUAUUUUAUAAUCUGAGGUUCUACACAAACUUAUAAGCUAUGAGGUUUGUUACAUCUCUCACUCUUCAUUCUCAAACAUAGGAAAUUCACACAAAGGUUCAAGUUAUUGACAUCUAUCUAGUCUCUUUUUAAUCCACACAAAGGCUUUACAAAAUGCUGCUUAUAAAGCCGAUUGGUAUGUUCUCUAUAUAGUGUUCAGUAUGCCACAAUCUACAGAAGUUGUUCAUGAGGUACGGUUACAAUUUUAAUGAUAUGCAGUUUCCCCAACACAUUAAGAAGGGAUAUGAAGUUUUUUCAAGACUUAGAAUAAUUCAUUAUUGUGUUGGUUCUCUCUAUGUUAUAAUUGUAAUUAGUUUGUAGUUAGUUACUUAUUUCUUCAUGAGUGAUAUUACCCCUUAAAUUAGUUUGUAAAUUUAUUCUUAUGUAAUUUAAAUUGGGGAAAAUAAAUUACUCUCAUUUGGAUA